AGCCUUCUGCAGAAAUCAGGCGGCUCUUAGUUCUGGCAGUCCAUUGUCUAGCUUCUCCCGGUCCUCCGCAUUGGAACCUCCAUCUCAGUGGGGUCCGGUCUCUCGACGCUCUUCUGGUUUGAUCGCUGGGCCGGGGACUCUCCCUUUGCGGCCCGCUUCCCUGCCCUCUUCUCUAUCUCCGUCGACCCCUUGAUUUCUGUUGAUAGGGCCCUUCUUGACUUAGGGCGCCUUGCUUUCCGACGGCCUUUUGGGCCCGCGGAAUCCGCCGCCUGGCGUGAGUUGCUUGAUUGCGUUGCUCUUCAUGAGCCGUUGGUGGAUGGUGGUCCUGACCUGGUGCGCUGGCGCCUGGAGCCGUCGGGCCAGUUCUCCACCAAGUCGCUCUACCUGGCCAUUGCCCCAUCCUCCGCCCUCCCCUUGUCGAUGGUUUGGUCCAUCCGCGUUCCCUUGAAGAUUCGCAUCUUCAUGUGGCAGUGGAUUCGCGGUCGGGUCCCGUCCGGGGUGGAGGUCUGCAAGCGCAAUGGCCCGGGUACUGGUCUCUGCCCGCUCUAUGAUGUUCCUGAAGACUCGAACCACAUCUUCUUCUCCUGCGUCUCCGCCCAGUUCCUCUGGAGCUGCUUUCGCGAGGUGGUCGGUGGAAGUUGGUGCCACACCAAUUUCCCGAACUUAUUUGCUGAACUCCAGCUGUCCCCCGUGACCUCUCGCCACAUUAGGUGGCUUGAGGUUGGGGUUCUCGCCUGGACCCUCUGGACCGUUCGCAAUAAGCUUGUGAUUCAACGUACUCCCCUUCGACGGGCUACUGACGCGCUCUUCAAACUCUCGGGUUUCUUGCAGCUUUGGCGGCCGCUUAGCCGCCCCCCGAACCGUGACGCCAUCUCAGCCUUCAUCGCCGACCUCCGUUCGAUGGCCGUCCGCCUGUCGCCGCCGCCUCCUCCUCCUCCGCCGGAUCCAGACUAG
rnacentral:rRNA from 1 species